AUUAGCUGGAUACAAUAGGAAGGGUCGGACAAAGCCAAGAUUGGUUGUCCGUCAGGCGGAUUGGGUAAUAACAAACCACCCACUUAUUUGUACCGAGAGUCAGAAGUUCGAAGUUUAACGGGGUAGAAGAAGCUAUGGGACUGCACUGAUACACACUGAUUCUUCGAGAUACUGUGCGAGCAUGAUCCUUCUGUAGAAUCUGGUUAUGUUAUGUUUAUGACAUUCGGCGUAAUUGCAGUUCGCCUGCAUCUGUGCUGCACAGGCAGUGUGGUCGGCUGGCUAGCUAGCUAGCUACAAAAGGGAAGUAGUGGCGUGUGGAGUAGAGGAGAGGGAGGUGUUUCCUCGGCUGGUGUGCUAGCUAGCUAGUUACCCAGCCAGGUAUCUAACGUUAUUUAAAUAAAUAGCUGUCUCGGGUAGCGGUAUCAUACAGUAGAACCCACGCCGUUAGCGUGGUAGGAAGUUAUUUUAUCUGAGUACCUUUGUAUAUUUUCUAUAUUUUCUAAUUGUGAUGUAGCGCGCAUUGUUCGCGUGUAAUGCGACUGCUGCCGUGUCCCGAGACGCUAGUUAGCUAGCUAGCUACCCAGCCGUGUAUCUUGCUUCCUCUUCCAAUUCAGCAAGCAGGCGUUCGCUGUGAAAAUAUUGUUUUAAUAAGGCACGACAUGUUCAAACUCGGUGCACUGCUGUAGUACCUUGCAUAUGAACGCAUAGUGCAUUACGCUCGGUUCUCUGCACUGCAUGUCAUUCAGGUGAUCGCUAGCUAACCUUCGUCUCCUAACUAGCUAGCUUUUACACUUGGGGCUGUUAACUAGCUUGCUGUUGAGCUUGCUACAGAAUAGCUAUGCAGGCGAAGCAUAGGGUCGGGAUGAAUAGAUAGUGCAAGUUGCAUUCAGAAUUCCUUUUGGGAUUUUCAGUGGUUGCCUAUCGGACUUGCCUUGAAGGCAGAUAUUUGAAAUAAAGAAGAAUGAAGAAGUUUUCUCGCAUGCCAAAGUCCGAGAGUGGUGGGCUCGGUGGAGGAUCCGGUUCAGGGUCUGGUUCUGGAGUCGGCAACUACAUCGGGAAGGUGUUCUGUGUCGGCCGAUACCAGGUCACCGUGGAAGAACUUAUUGCAGAAGGGGGGUUUUCCGUGGUCUUCCUGGCCCGGACUCACAGUGGAGUACGAUGUGCCCUAAAGAGGAUGUACGUGAACAACGUCCCGGACCUGAACAUCUACAAAAGGGAGAUCACGAUCAUGAAGGAGCUGUCGGGUCACAAGAACAUAGUGAGCUACCUGGACUCUGCCAUUAACACGGUGGGGGACAGCGUGUGGGAGGUGCUCAUCAUCAUGGAGUACUGCAAAGCUGGCCAGGUGGUGAAGCAGAUGAACCAGCGUCUCCACACGGGAUUCAGCGAAGUCGAAGUCCUCCACAUAUUCUGUGACACGUGCGAGGCGGUGGCUAGGCUACACCAGUGUAAAACUCCGGUCAUUCAUCGGGACCUGAAGGUUGAAAAUAUUCUGCUGAAUGACCAGGGGAACUACGUCCUGUGUGACUUUGGAAGUGCCACACACAAAGUUCUGCUACCGCACAAGGAUGGAGUAACUGCGGUGGAGGACGAAAUCAAAAAGUACACGACACUCUCCUACCGUGCCCCGGAGAUGAUCAAUCUUUACGGAGGGAAAGCCAUCACCACUAAAGCCGACAUAUGGGCGCUCGGAUGCUUGUUGUACAAGCUGUGCUUCUUCUCCCUUCCUUUUGGGGAGAGUCAGGUUGCCAUAUGCGAUGGAACUUUCAUUGUUCCGGAUAAUUCCAAAUUCUCCUUCAAGUUGCACUGCUUAAUCAGAUACAUGCUUGAGCCGGAACUAGAAAAGAGACCGGACAUCUAUCAAGUCUCCUACUUUGCCUUCAAGUUGGCUGGAAAAGAUUGCCCCGUGCCAAACCUGUUUAACUCCCCUCUUCCCACGUCACUGCCUGAGCCUCUGACCGCCAGCGAGGUCGCUGCCAAGAAGAACAUGACGAAAGCCAGGAUAACGGACUCGGUGGGGCCCACGGAAACCUCCAUCGCCCCGCGGCAGAGGCCGAAAGCGGCCAACAGCAACGUCGUCCUGCCCAUACACAACGCCGUGACGCCCGUGAAGAUGACCGUCCCCGCCGCGGCCGAGAGCAACGGGCAGAGAGUAGGGCCGGCCGCUGGGAACGGACACCCCGCUGCGCAGCCGCAGGGAGGCAGCCAGCAGCACCGCGUCCUGCAGCAGCUGCAGCCGGGGGACCUGCGACUGCAGCAGCUGCAGCAGCAGCAGCAACACCAGCAGCCGCAGCAUCCGCAACAUCAGCCACCGCAGCAGCACCAUCAGCAGCAUCAUCUCCCGCAUCAGCAGCCGUCAAAUCUGCAGCACCUCCAGUACCUACAACAGUAUCAGCAGGCCCUCCACAUGCAGCAGCAGCAGCAGCAGCAGCAGUUGCUCCAGCAGCAGAUGAUGAUGCCGCCUGUCUAUCAGCAGCAGGCCCAGUACGCAGUCAUGAUGCACCAGUACCAACAAGCGUUUGCACAGCAGCAGCAACAACAACAGCAACAGCAUCUCAACCAUCAGCAGCAACAGCAACAGCAUCUCAGCCAACAACAGCAGCAACAGCAUCUCAAUCAGCAGCUCCCUUAUCUCACCUCCCCGCUGGAGUUCCAGCCUCCCCUGGGGACCUUGGCCCCGGCCGGGACCGCCCACCUGGGGCCCGCCCCGGUAGAGCCUCCAUUCACUAACCCCAGUAGAAACCCCCUCCUGAACACAGAGGCGAUCACCCCUCCCCACCCGACCGUCAGUAACCCCCCGGACAUGUCCAGGUGGAACCCCUUCGGGGAGGACAACUUCUCCAAGCUGACCGAGGAGGAACUGCUGGACCGAGAGUUUGACCUUCUUAGAGCAAAGAAACCGGUGGAGAGAGCGGUGAGCGCCGACACCGGAGCGGGGAGGCAGGUCUCCCUCAGGCCCGUCCCCGAGGACCUUUUUGGCUCCGUCCCGUUCCUGGCCAACCCAGUAGGUGGCAGUGUGACGAGUCCGGAGCAGCUGAGUGAGGAGGCCACCGCGCCCCCAGCAAUGCUCGCACUGGAGGAGCCCCUCCCACCGGCCAUCAAGGAGCACAAACCCCUCAAGAGGAGCGGCGCGGCCGGGCCGCCAGCCCGCAAGGCGGGGGGGGAGGAGUCCGACAGCGACUUCGAGUCGGACCCGCCGUCGCCCAAGAGCAGCGAGGAGGACGAGCCGGAGGAGGACGAGGGCCUGAACAGCGAGCACGGCGAGUUCAACGACGACACGGAGCCCGAGAACCUGGGCCAGCGGCCGCUGCUCAUGGACUCGGAGGACGAGGCGGAGGAGGACGAGGACAAGCACAGCUCCGACUCCGACUGCGACCAGAGGAAGGCCAAGACACGGCCGGGCCGGCCGGCGGGAGGCAAAGUCGCCACCGCGGCGGGAACCGCCGGGACCAAACCCGGCCCCAGCCUGGUCACCCCCCCCGCCUCGCCCGGCGCGCCGGCCCCGGACCCCACCGGGGGGGAGGUGGACGUGUUUGGGGCCGUGCCCUUCCUCGGCGGGGGCCAGACCCCGAAGGCGGGCCCCGAGGGAGCCGACAUCUUCUCCAAGGCCCCGUUCCGGCAGGCCAGCCAGGAGCAGGCCAUGGACGAGUUCGACGUCUUCACCAAAGCGCCCUUCAGCCGGAACCUGUCCCGGACCAGCAAGAGCGGCGACGCCCCCGCGGGGCAGACCCCCCCCGUCUCCCCCGGCAGCGUGGACGUCUUCGGCUGCUCCCCCUUCCAGCCCAGCCACCCAGCGGCGCCGCCCCCCCAGUCCCAGGGCGGGGAGGACGUCUUCGGCCCGGGAACCUUCGAGGAGUCGUGCAGCCCCCAGCAGCAGAAGAACAAGCAGCGCAGCCUCCAGAAGCUCACCUCCCGCCAGAGGCGCACCAAGCAGGAGAGCGCCGGCGGCAACGGCAAGCGGCACCACGGCACCCCCACCGGCGGCAGGAAGAGCGGCAAGCCCAGCUACCGCACCCCCGAGCGGGCCCGCCGCCACAAGAAGGUGGGCCGGAGGGACUCGCAGAGCAGCAACGAGUUCCUCAGCGCCUCCGACUCCAAGGAGAACAUCAGCGUCGGGGCCAGGGGCGACGGCAAGGACAAGGGCCCGUCCCUGCCCGCCGAGGACGCCCUGCUGGACCCGUUCGGCGCCAAGCCCUUCCACCCGCCGGACGGCGGCCGCCACCCCCAGCACCAGGGCGACCUGAACCCGGCCGGCGGCAGGUCCCGGACCAGCUCCCUGCACGGCGCCUUCGCGGACGGGAACAAAAUGGACGACUUCGGCGCCGUGCCCUUCACGGAAAUGGUGGUCCACGGCGGGCCGCAGCAGCAGCAGCAGCUCCCCCCGCAGGUGGAUCUGGACCCUUUUGGAGCCGCCCCCUUCCCUUCCAAACAGUGAAUGUCUCGUCUUCCAGCACACAUUCACACACACACUCACACACACACACGCACCGUGGUGUUAUGCAAAGCCUGUGAAAUCCCGCGACGGAAUCCUCUAGGCCGGUGGCUUUGCGAUUCGCUUACUGCCCGCAUCCAAAUUAGCUGGUGAUACUCGCUAACGAACGAGGACUUAAAGAUGCUUUUUUUAAAAAAAACUAUUUUAAUACGUAACGGACUUGGAGUUGAGGAAGAAUCCUGUGGAGUAUAGAUGAUCUAUUCUAAAUUUGAUAUGCAUUACCUUUAGCCUGUACCUGUUCGCUAAAGAGCCUCGUAUGCUGCAUUAAUUCAUUUUGUUCUGGAGACGUUUGCCAGAGACCUUAUCCUUAACUUUGAAAGGAUGAAUUCCACUCAGAUUGUACUGUGAUAAUGAGCUUGCUCCAUCGUCAACUGUUCGAGUGGCUGCCAAGCUCUGUGUGUGUAGAUUGUGGCUUCCUACGUGAUCUACCAAUAAGAUGAAUUUCACACCGCAAAGCCUUAUGGGUAAAGUCCCACCCUGCUGCACAGUACAGUACCUCUGAACCAUCACGCUGAACUUGCGCAUAUAUCUUGGCUGAAUGAUGCUUCAGCAUAGGCCUUUAAAGUUUUAUUUCGCCUAUUUAGACUUAACAUUUUCUAUGUAUAUUUUUACAUUUAGGAAGUCAGAUACUCUCUUGUAUUUCAGUACAUAGAAGCAUUUCGCUGUGGUGAAAAUUUGUAUUGCAUCUUUUUCUUUUCUUGAAUACUAGAAUGAAAGGGAUUUUUUUGUUGUUUUUAUUCCUAAACAGUUAGAGCUGUCACCAGCGACAUUCUAAUACGGAGUCUUUACAAACUGUAAUUUUAAUAGGAUUUCGCUGUUAACAGUUGAAAAAAUGCAGGUAAGGAGUACUGCUCAUUUUGAAUUUUGCUGUGAUCUUUUUUAAACCAAAUAAAAUCACAGUAUUACAGAUCAUAGAUUAAAUGUGAAGUUUUAUAAUGUAGCAAUAUGAAAUGAAAAUCCGUGUAGUUAUUUGGGACUACAAGUACUGCCAAUUCCUUCUGCUGAUGCCGAUUAACCAGACUACCAUUGUCAACGUAACUUGGCAACAGCCAUGCAUCACGAAAAGGGAAAUGAACCUAAAUUACGCUCUCAAGAUCAGACGGAUGUAAGAGAGGGUGACAAAACCUCCCGGAUCAAAAUUAUACCAAUUAAGUGCACUUUCCACAUUUUACGCUUCCGUUUGAUUUUCUUUUGUACUUGAAAGAAAAGGAGAAAAACGGUUAUGGCUUAUCUGGAUUUUCAGGUUUGACUUUCCCAUGCAUUUACUAGCCCUAAGCCCAUUAGCACAUUAAGGCUAAUACGGCAGUCUUAUCUUUUUUCCCUCUACUCCUAACAGUCCUAUUGAAUUCUUUUUUUUUUUUUAGUGGCAUAGCUUUUUAAAAAAAUUUUUUUUAUAGUUCUAACAGACGUUUCCCCCCUUUUGUUAUAUUUAUGUUGUACUGCUGUCUAAAAAAUGCAAUAAAGAGGAUGGAUUCGUUAAAAAAAGUUUUCUGUCAUAGGGCUGGGUACUGUCGCCUUCUUCACGAAGCAAUACGUUUCCCGCUUGCAGACUUCUGUCAGAAGAGGGCGCUUUGUGUGCAGCUUGGAAGAGCAGAGCAACGACCUUCAUCCCAGCAACUGAAUCCCUUCAUCCAAGGCUGAGUCUCACGAACCAGAGCUGCGGUUUAACUGGACUAGCCACCCAGCAACCCUCUUCCAAGGCGUUUUUGUUUGCAAGGUAAAUGCUAGUCGUUUCAUAGCAGUUACAGACAGCAAUUGCAUUCAACAAGCUUCAGUUGUAUUUACAAAUGGCCCAUCACCAUAUAUAAAAAUAGUCAUGCUUAAUAUAAAUGAAACAGCCCAUUUAGAUUAGUUUUCAGUGCGCAACAUAUCCAAACUCCAGUAAAAACGUCAUAUGGUUUUAUUCAUAAAGCACACAUGCCCAUCAAAAAGUUUCAGUAUCAAUAAUGAUAGACAGUUGAUAUUUUACAGUGUUUAGCUUGUAAUGUAUAUACGUGCACAGAGGACAAUGAGAGAAAUGUAACAUUGCUGUAAACAAUGAUCUACCCGUGCCCAUCUGAGCAAGGCAUGAGCCGCAUAAUUAAAAAAAAAAAGACAUAAAAAUGCCAGCGACGCAGGCUCAGUGCACGGACUCUCCUGCUUUUUAAAGGGCACCUCUAUCAGAGGUAUUACAGCUCUGCAGACCUCUUAGCGCUUUGGUUUGUAAAGGGCUACAGUGUCUAGCUCCAGAGCAUGUAACAGUGUUUGGACUUUGCCUGGAAAAUGAAUUCAGAAUCGAGGCAAAAAAAAGAAAAGAAAUAAGUGUCAACACACGCUUGGUCCAUUUGUAAAUCAAACAGUGACCGGGUGUUGAUGAUACUGACAUAUUGUUUGCACAGUCGGAGGUAUGACGCAUGAAAGACAAGUUCUGUACAGAGCCUAAACAGCCUUUCUUGUUGAACGCUUUCCUAUAUUUAGCAGGAAUUUAAAUGUAUUUUUCCUUGAAAUAAAUUACACUAGAACAAGUGCCUGAAGGACAGUUUCUAAUCAAAUUAAGAAAUAAAUAGGCUAUUGUACAGCUGGGCUAUAUCACUACCAUACAGUGCACAGUUAAUGCAUGCU